rnacentral:rRNA from 1 species
GCCCAGACUCCUACGGGAGGCAGCAGUGGGGAAUAUUGCACAAUGGGGGAAACCCUGAUGCAGCGACGCCGCGUGAGUGAAGAAGUAUUUCGGUAUGUAAAGCUCUAUCAGCAGGAAAGAAAAUGACGGUACCUGACUAAGAAGCCCCGGCUAACUACGUGCCAGCAGCCGCGGUAAUACGUAGGGGCAAGCGUUAUCCGGAUUUACUGGGUGUAAAGGGAGCGCAGGCGGCGCGGCAAGUCUGAUGUGAAAGCCCGGGGCUCAACCCCGGGUCUGCAUUGGAAACUGUCGAGCUAGAGUGUCGGAGGGGUAAGCGGAAUUCCUAGUGUAGCGGUGAAAUGCGUAGAUAUUAGGAGGAACACCAGUGGCGAAGGCGGCUUACUGGACGAUGACUGACGCUGAGGCUCGAAAGCGUGGGGAGCAAACAGGAUUAGAUACCCCUGUA